rnacentral:rRNA from 1 species
AUUGAACGCUAGCGGCAUGCUUAACACAUGCAAGUCGAACGGCAGCGCGAGGAGCUUGCUCCUUGGCGGCGAGUGGCGGACGGGUGAGUAACGCGUGGGAAUCUACCUUGCAGUUUGGGACAACUCGGGGAAACUCGAGCUAAUACCAAAUAAUGUCUACGGACCAAAGGAGGCCUCUUUACAAUGCUUUCGCUGUUAGAUGAGCCCGCGUCGGAUUAGCUUGUUGGUAAGGUAAUGGCUUACCAAGGCAACGAUCCGUAGCUGGUCUGAGAGGAUGAUCAGCCACACUGGGACUGAGACACGGCCCAGACUCCUACGGGAGGCAGCAGUGGGGAAUAUUGGACAAUGGGGGAAACCCUGAUCCAGCAAUGCCGCGUGUGUGAAGAAGGCCUUCGGGUUGUAAAGCACUUUCAGUGGGGAAGAAAUGCUCAAGGCUAAUACCUUUGAGCUAUGACGUUACCCACAGAAGAAGCACUGGCUAACUCUGUGCCAGCCGCCGCAGUAACAC